CCACUAGCCAGACGCAUCUGCUUCUUCCCCGUGAGCUGGGCGUAUCCGGCGGCGAGCGGUUCGGAUGUUGAAUCUAGACGCGGCGGCGAGCGGUUCCGCGUCCUUCCUCCAGGGGGUGAGCGGCGGCGAGCAUCGGGUUAACUCUGCGCCGACUGUCUCCUCAGCAGUGUCGUCGUUGGCUGGCCGAAUCAGCGUCAAUCUCGACACGGCGACCGGCGUGUGGCUGCAGGAGGGCAGGGGCGAUGCCGGCAUCAGCAUACUGGUCAGGCAGCACGAUGGGCCGUGGAUGCGGUGGCAUCGGCGUCGUGGUCCGAGAGCACAGGGGUUCGCGUCUGCGAGCGGCAUCGGCAUCAUGUCGAGGGGCGGGCGGCGCUGCAGGUGGCAUCUGCAUCGGGGACGAGCGGCGAGCGGCCUCAACCUUGGUCUUGGUCGUUUCACGGCGGCUGGGCACGGCGGAAGGUAUCAUGUGUUAUUAGCAGAUUCACAUUGGUUCUGUGUUGCCACAGUGGACUAGAGGCAUGUUCAAACGAUUCAGAAGAUGCACUGGAGCGAUCUACUUGCUGGUGCGAGUGCAUCAAGGUAACGAAAUUCUAUGAUAUUUCUACCAUGUACUUUGUGAUAUAUCUGCUCUUAUAUGGAUGCGUUUGUUUUGCUUACCUUUGUCGCGUGGUGGGUGACGUGCUGUGCUGUGGGUGGCCUCGUCCAUGGCUUCAUCGCCGCCACCCCCGUCCUUGCUCUCCGGCUGCAACCAUGGUCCCUGACCUCAUAUUCUCAGUUAUACCUUUUCGUUUGCAUGAAAAUUGAUGGUAGUGUCAAUGAAAAAUGCAUGGAAGUUGGUUUAGCCUGUUAGUUUCUUUGCUUCGAACUUUGAUCAUGCUCCCAGCCUUAGUAAAUUUGGCCUUACGGACGAAUAUAGAUUCAGAUAUUCAGUAUGCCAAAUGUAUUUUAAAUCUGGGCAAAUUACAACAGAUGGUAUUCCAAUUUCUGGCCAUUGACCAUAGAUGGCAUUUUAUUUUGUUUUAAUGUUUUUGUUUUAUGGGCAUGAGGCCAUGAAUUAUGUAGCUGUAUAUGGGGCCAUUCAGUCAUGCAUCUAACCAUGACGCUAGUUCUUAUUUUUGCGUGGGUGGUUCUUAUGUCUCGUUGCCACCAAGAACUACAUGGACAUAAGUUAUUUUAUGCUGGCACUGAGAAUUCUUGCAUUGACAUAACUUAUAUUACAAGCUCUGCGGAACUUUGUUUUAACCCAGCUUAUGGUCUGGUAGUUUUAGAGGACUAUUCUUCAAUGAACUUCCAUGUCAAUUCGGAAUCGUUGGCAAUAGCGGCGUGGCGUGCUUCAUUCUGUUGGAUGGGAUUGUACGAACGGCUGGAGGGUGGCGGAAACUGAUGACACCAGUGGCCUCAGCCUCAGAUUCGACCUGUAUAGUUGCAUCACCCUGCUAGGCCGCUGACAAAUUAACCAUCUUCAUGCCUGGGAAGGAACCUGUAAGCUCAUAAUUUCAUCUCUGUCGGUAGAAGAGCUCGGAAGAUUGUUGGCUCGGAUACAAGCAACAGGAGCUGACAUAGUCAAGAAUAUUUUCAAAUACUUGUGCACUGCCAAGUGAGUUUACUGUCUAAAACCUCUGCAACCUUUGUAUCUUAGCUAUGCACUAGUAUGAGCUCUUGAUGAUUUUUUGUAUACAUACUUCAUAGUAUUAGUCCACAAGGCUGUUUGCAUGUAAUUGAAUCACAGAUUUAAUAGCUAUGUGUUAUAAAUUAUGAUUUUUUUUUACCACUAUACCACUGCCAUAGACAUGCUUUUAUUUUGAACGGUUUAAUAUUGAUUCAUCUGUGUGAUUAUGUCCAUGCUAUUUCGUAAAUUCUUAUCCAGUCUGCUAUUGAUCAUUUUGAUUUUGUUAUGUUGGCAGUAGGCCUCCCAUAGAAAAAAACAUGUUAGAGGUACGUGCAGCAAUUAUGAACUUGUUAACCUUGGUCACAUUAAGAUCAUUGACAUCCCCAAGCAACCCUGUUUAGUUGGGGUUAAUGGACCAGUGUGCACAGACCAUAUCUUGACAAUUUGAUCGUGGCCACCACUGAUUAGCUUGCUACGUUAUUCUGGAAUAUUAUAUAUCCACACCCACCAUCAUUAGCACUGAUGGUGAUUCUGCAUUUAGAUGGGAUUAGCGUUUCCAUGAUGUCGACGCACUCAGCUUUAGAUCGAAAAAUGAUGUCAUUGGUGUUUCCAUGAUGUCGAGGUACCCAGCUUCAGAUCGACUAAUGAUGCCAUCAGCUUGUUGUGCAUGGUGUUGUGCCCGUAGUGUUAGUAUAUACGAAAAACUGCUUGGCAGUGCUGCGGGCGUAGCAUGCCGGCCAGCCGGUGGGCUUCGGCCUCAAGGUACAAUGUUACGCUUGAUCAUUUCUUACAUUAGUCACCAGCAGUGUCGCAGUUUCCACCACGUUGAAUCAAACAAAAAGUACUACUGCUGUUCUUCUAUCACCAGCAAUGGCGCAUACAGAUCUGUCAAUAGUGUCUAGGAUUCUGAAAUUUAUGGCAUGGUUGGCUUCUGUAGCCUGUUCUUACUGGUCAAACUAAUGUUGGUACUUUAGUUGAGUUGAUCUAGUUUUUGACUGAUCCUUCUUUAUGUGGGAUAUUUUGCAAUUGCUACUGGCGACUAGCUCAUUAGGAAGGGUUACUACUUAAUUACUGAUGUCUGUCUUUGCAGUCACAACAAUACACAGUUUAGUUAUUCUCUGCCAUGGGCAUUGCAAAGUGUAAAGAUUCGUUGUGUUACUCAGCAAUCAGCGUAGUUCGUACAUGAUGGGCUUGAUAUUGCCUACAACUCAUGGAAAUAUAUACAAACAUUCCACAUAUGUACCACUGAACAAAGGAGGUAAUAUCCUAUUGUGAAGCUGCAUCUAUGCUAAUACAUGUUCGCAUCAGGAAAGAAAUGUUUGAUAACGCUGUAAGCAACAUAGUAUGUCAUUAAAAAGGUCUAAUUCCCUAUCAAUGCCACCGGAGUCAACCUACAUGGUUUUACAAGAAUUUUAACUAUGAUAGCGAAGCCAACAUGACUUUGUAGAUAUCAUUCAUCAUUCAAAUAGCAGCAAGUAUGGGGUUGAAAAUAGACUCUUAAAAGAAUACUGAAAUACAACUUCAGCAAAUAAAUUGUGGAUGUUAAUACACAUUAAUUUUUUACAUGAUCUUUUCUGUUUACAAUUAUCAUUCAAGAACUUUUGUUAUUGCUGCUAUGAUAUAUAAUAUUUUCCACUUGAAGAUGACUAUCAUAUAAUGGAGUCAUCAAGAUAAGUCGAAUAUGAAUUUAUGAACUUGAUUCCUAGACUUUAUGCAUGAACAAAAUUAGUUAAUCUGUAAUUGUGCAAACGAAUUAGUGCCUAUAGAAUCGUGUUGUUAUCUCCUUUUUCUUAAUCAUAUUAUUUCAAACUGUAAUUUACGUUUGCAGCAGCUGGGAAGCUAUGCAGGGCAUGGUGGCGGGCCUCGGCUUCCUUGUGCGGAGCCUAUGCUUGUUGUUGCCAUUGAAGUUCUCCUACGAUAGUCCCACCUCUGUGGUCCUUUAUGCAUAACUUUGAAAGCUUAUCGGCUUAUUGAUUCAUCUCAGGAUUAGAAGCUUAACCGAAUUCUGAAUCAAUGAUUAUGGCCUUUGUCCCUAUGGCAUGAGCGCAUGCUUAGAAACAAAAGGUGGAACUUUUGUGCAUCGUGUUUAUUUUCUUUUGAUACUUCUUUGGACUACAUGACAUUCAUACUUAUCCUAUCUACAUUCUUCUUAUGUUUCUUUACAUUGAUUUGUCAAAUAGCAAGUGGCAAAAAGAGUACACAUUAGGGGAUUCUGUUCCACAACUGAUGAGGUUUAUGUUACUGUCGUAAGCUUCCUUGGCAGCUGUGGUUGGUACCAAUUGGUCUUGCUCUUUCUAGCACUCCUGGGAAAUCUUAUCGCUGUUCCAGAUCGUGCCUUCUCGGAUAUGUUGUUGUCUUCUUCGCAUGGAAGAAACAGGGAUAUAUUUAACAUUGUAUUUGACCCACUGCCUGCUGCGUGGCUUCUCCUCCUCUGAACAUCAAAUGAAGCGACAUAAAGUCAGCAUUGACGACAUUUGAUAGUUUCUUUUGUCAGGGUUUAUCAUGCCUCAUACAUGAGCUAUAAUUAUCUCUGAUUUGAAUUGUGUACACAAUAGGCUUCACAUGUAAUUAUUGCGUCUACACAAAUAUUAUGUGUAUUCCUUUCUUAUUAAAUCUCUCAUACACUAGAUUUCAUACAUUGCUAGAUUUGUAAUACACACUAGGAUCAUGGUUUUACAGCGCGUAAGGAU